CAUUCCAAUAUAAUUUCACUUGAUUGUUUAGUUUGGUUGAUGAAAAAGAAAAGAUAGUAGUCCGUCAUCAGUGGUCCAAUUGUGUGCAAAAGUGGGUUGAUACAUAUCUCUGGAAUCAUCCUCAGUGGUUCAAAUUUGAACAACUUUUUUGACCCAUCUUUAGUCCAUUCAAUCUUCAAUGCUUGCAUCAUUAUAUAUCUCAUAUUUUUUCAAAGCACAAACAUGUAACAUAUGCAUUGUUUAUUUACCAAUUCACAUCAUCACGAAGAUUAAAUGACAACAUGGUAGAUCUACAAAGAAUUCCACAGUAUCUUCUCUUAAGCUUCUGCGAUAAUUCAUAAUAUUCCACCAAGAUUUUUCACUUAAAUUUUGUCUUAUUGUCCUGAAUCCUCAAACUUUAAUUUCUCAGCACCUUUUUAUGCUGUUGAUGACCAAACUUUUUCACCCUUUUCGAUAAAAAUGCCCAAACUUGUUAAACCAUAUGAACAAUAGUAGUACUAACAUAAUUUGCUUUGAACCCCCUUUUUCUUUUUUGUUGUGCUGCAAAUUCUGAUUUGAUUCUCUCAAUCUUUGAAGAAUACUUAGAUUCUUGGUACAGUUUCUAAUCAGUGAAGAGAUAUCAGAGGUCAUUUUCUCUGUAAUAAUAAUGAUGCUAAUUUCACAUCACUGAUGACUUUGUCUGAUGCAGGAACAUCAGAUAUUCAUUUCUGGUCAUCAUGUUUUCUUGGAUUAGUGACUGAAGCUUGACAAUUCAUCAACUCCUGACAAGGGAUUUGAUUUGGGUUUUUUCUGACAUGAUUCUUGAUUAAGGUAACUUCUUUUGUCUUGUGUUCAGAAUCUGGAAAGAUGCUAACUUGACAUGACUAUCAACUUGAAUAAAUUCCAGCUCGGUUUUGUUAGAUCUGUAUACACCAAUUGUUUACCUUGCUAAGUUCAGAUGUGAAAGUUUUAAUUGAUAAUUAAAGAUAAUGGGUUAGUCGAUUCAUGUAUAGUUUCUCUAGCUAAUUAUCAUGUCUGUACAUUUGUCUUGAAUGGUUAUGUUAAUAAAGGCUCCUUUUUGCCA